GAUGAACGCUGGUGGUGUGUCUAAGGCAUGCAAGGUCGAACGAUUCCUUCGGGAAGAGUGGCGAACGGGUGCGUAACACGUCGGUAUCUACCCUUAUCUCUGGAAUAAUCCCGCGAAAGCGGGACUAAUACCAGAUAGUCUGCAGCUUGCUGCAGUAAAGAUUUAUCGGAUGAGGAUGAACCGGCGGCUGAUUAGCUUGUUGGUGAGGUAAAAGCUCACCAAGGCCGCGAUCAGUAGCGGGUGUGAGAGCACGACCCGCCUCCACAGGGACUGAGACACUGCCCUG
rnacentral:rRNA from 1 species